rnacentral:rRNA from 1 species
UCCAGACUCCUACGGGAGGCAGCAGUGGGGGAUAUUGGACAAUGAGGGAAACCCUGAUCCAGCGACGCCGCGUGAGUGAAGAAGUAUUUCGGUAUGUAAAGCUCUGUCAGCAGGGAAGAAAGAAAUGACGGUACCUGACCAAGAAGCCCCGGCUAACUACGUGCCAGCAGCCGCGGUAAUACGUAGGGGGCAAGCGUUAUCCGGAAUUACUGGGUGUAAAGGGAGCGUAGACGGUGACGCAAGUCUGGAGUGAAAGGCGGGGGCCCAACCCCCGGACUGCUCUGGAAACUGUGCGGCUGGAGUGCGGGAGGGGCAGGCGGAAUUCCUGGUGUAGCGGUGAAAUGCGUAGAUAUCAGGAGGAACACCGGCGGCGAAGGCGGCCUGCUGGACCGCGACUGACGUUGAGGCUCGAAAGCGUGGGGAGCGAACAGGAUUAGAUACCCCUGUA